rnacentral:rRNA from 1 species
AUUGAACGCUGGCGGCAGGCUUAACACAUGCAAGUCGAGCGGAGAGAGGUAGCUUGCUACUGAUCUUAGCGGCGGACGGGUGAGUAAUGCUUAGGAAUCUGCCUAUUAGUGGGGGACAACAUUUCGAAAGGAAUGCUAAUACCGCAUACGUCCUACGGGAGAAAGCAGGGGAUCUUCGGAACUUGCGCUAAUAGAUGAGCCUAAGUCGGAGUAGCUAGGUGGUGGGGUAAAGGCCUACCAAGGCGACGAUCUGUAGCGGGUCUGAGAGGAUGAUCCGCCACACUGGGACUGAGACACGGCCCAGACUCCUACGGGAGGCAGCAGUGGGGAAUAUUGGACAAUGGGCGGAAGCCUGAUCCAGCCAUGCCGCGUGUGUGAAGAAGGCCUUAUGGUUGUAAAGCACUUUAAGCGAGGAGGAGGCUACUUUAGUUAAUACCUAGAGAUAGUGGACGUUACUCGCAGAAUAAGCACCGGCUAACUCUGUGCCAGCCGCCGCAGUAAAAC